rnacentral:lncRNA from 1 species
UAUGAGAGGCUUCCAUGUUUGCAUCCUGUGAGCGUGUUAGGUUUAGACACCUAUCCACGAGGACGGAGAUGGCAUCAUUCCAUACUGGCGAAGGUCCAUGUUGCUGAGGGUUUCACUCAUUGUCGCCUACAGCUGGAGUUGUUGACAACCAAUGUCAUCACAUGGGUUCCGUACUCUAGAGAGCAUUUGGGAGUUGGAUUUGAGGAUGGG